GACGAACGCUGGCGGCGUGCUUAACACAUGCAAGUCGAACGAUGAAGCCGGAGCUUGCUCCGGUGGAUUAGUGGCGAACGGGUGAGUAACACGUGAGCAAUCUGCCCUUGACUCUGGGAUAACUGCGGGAAACUGUAGCUAAUACUGGAUACGACAACUUGGGGCAUCCCAGGGUGUGGAAAGAAUUUCGGUCAAGGAUGAGCUCGCGGCCUAUCAGCUAGUUGGUGAGGUAAUGGCUCACCAAGGCGACGACGGGUAGCCGGCCUGGGAGGGUGACCGGCCACACUGGAACUGAGACACGGGCCAGACUCCUACGGGAGGCAGCAGUGGGGAAGAUUGCACAAUGGGCGAAAGCCUGAUGCAGCAACGCCGCGUGAGGGAUGAAGGCCUUCGGGUUGUAAACCUCUUUUAGCAGGAAAGAAGCGAAAGUGACGGUACCUGCAGAAAAAGCACCGGCUAACUACGUGCCAGCAGCCGCGGUAA
rnacentral:rRNA from 1 species